rnacentral:lncRNA from 1 species
UUCUCGAUUAACAUAACCAACGUGUUGCCUAAUAUUCUGCCAACUUAAUGUGGCAACAACAUUUUGCUUUUUACUCGUCCAUGAUAUAAGGUUAUCUCCCACACCACCUGGAAAGCUGCCUUUAUUACCCUGUAAGUUGUCUUAGUUGCAACCUUUAGCAACAACAUUAAUUGCAGCUUUAAGAGUGAUGGUUUAGUUUUACAUUGACUGGAAAUAUGUGUUGGGGUCUGAUACCACCUGUUGGGAAAAACGGUGAACCCACAGAAAUAAUUUUACUCUUCAAUCCAUUGUGGGUUUGACCCACACAAAUAAUAUUACUCUUCAAUCCAUGGUGGGUUAUUUUCAUUAAACCGUAACAACCUUUAAAUAGGUGCAAAUCAGAUCUUGGGUCAAUUACAAAUAAUAAAAACUGACAAUAAAAUAUCAACUUACCUACAAAUCAAAUCUCCUAUUCUAUCAUAAUAUAAUAUUCUACCUAGAUAAAUAGAAAAUCAUAACUACCCAUUCNUAUUUUGUCUCUAUCAAAUCAAACCAAAUAUUACUAGACCCAAAACUAAUAAAAUAAUAAAUCUCUAAAAUUUAAGUUUAUCCCAACAAACUCCCCCAUAAACUUAAAUUCUUCCUUCCUUUCUUUCCAUGUGCAUCGUCCCAAUUCGGGUUUGCUUCUUUCAAUCAAAUUUGACUUUUUCUUUUUCCUUAUGACCUUCCUGUAUUUUACCUUGGUUGACCUCUUUAAUGCUUUGACUGACUUUGUUAUGUCCAACUUCUCAAUAACCUUAACCAACUCAUCUCUGACCUUCCUGUCUUUUACCUUCAAUUAUCAAUGAAUAAUAAGACUCAAUUUUGGAAAAAUAUCUGAGUGUGUAUCGGGAGAUUUUCCCAACAAUAUGAUCUAUCAAGUUUGGACAAUCCUCACCUUGGAAACUGGUCUUGAGGGGUUAAAGUUUUCCCUAGAACCAAUUUCCAACUCUCUUUUAAAUCAGUUCUAUAAAACCUUGCAAUCUGAAUGUUGGCCACCUACAUUUG